rnacentral:rRNA from 1 species
ACGAACGCUGGCGGCGUGCUUAACACAUGCAAGUCGAGCGGUAAGGCCCUUUCGGGGGUACGACGAGCGGCGAACGGGUGAGUAACACGUGGGUGACCUGCCCUCAGCUCUGGGAUAAGCCUGGGAAACCGGGUCUAAUACUGGAUAUGACUCCAUGACGCAUGUUGUGGGGUGGAAAGCCUUGUGCGGCUGAGGAUGGGCCCGCGGCCUAUCAGCUUGUUGGUGGGGUGANGGCCUACCAAGGCGACGACGGGUAGCCGGCCUGAGAGGGCGACCGGCCACACUGGGACUGAGACACGGCCCAGACUCCUACGGGAGGCAGCAGUGGGGAAUCUUGCGCAAUGGGCGAAAGCCUGACGCAGCGACGCCGCGUGAGGGAUGACGGCCU